UGAAUAAAUAAAAUCUUUUAAAAAUAGAAAAAAGAAACGGAAACCCAGAGUUUCAAGAGGCAGAGGCCGUGAGAUGGAAGUCAGCAAGGGUGGGGCCCUCCCAACCUGCUGGGGCAGGUGUCCUGCCCCCCCAGGAGGUGUCCCCAAAGGCUGGCUGGCUGUGCUUCACGGAUAGAACCUGUGGGGCCGGGGCAGGGGCAGACCCGUGCCCUGCGCGGAGCCUGGGGCGGCGGGGCCUGGGGCAGGGCCCUGUGCUGCCGCCAGCCCAGGGGCCCAGGCACGCCCGGCCCGGGGCCCUCUCCGUUGAGGACAGACAAGAGGCAGACGACAUCUGGGCCCUGCGCCCACUGAGCCCUUGCCUCGCGAUGCUCAGUCUGACCCUGAGGACUUCCCAGGGGCUCCGGAGCCGCUGGAGCGACGCGCCCGCCGCUGUUAGGUCGCCCUUCCCUCUGCCCCGUCCGCAGCCCGGGAGGGGGGCUCAGGGCUCCUUUUGAAAGGUCACACGGGCCUCUUCCUCAUCCCCAGAACCCACAGGCCCCGAACAUCCUCGGGCCCCUGAAGCUCGGCGCCCUCCCCUCCCCCUCCCUAGGAUGGGAGCCUUAGGGUGCUGGAUCACAGGCGACCCCACAGAGCCGAGCUCCACCCCAGAAACAGGCAGGUGCCCCGUGUGCAGUCGCUGUCAGAAGCUCAAGCCCCUCUGUCGGGAAGUCCCUCCUGACGUCUAGCUCACAUCUGUCCCGCUGCCAUCAGUCCAGGCCUGAGCCGUGAGGCCGAGCAGAACGUGAGCUCUACGGGUUAGAGGAUGGGGAGCGGGAUAAAUACUUAAGGCCUGGGGGUCAGGAGAAGGGGUCCUGGAGCCCCAGCCCUCCCCCAGUAGCAGGAGGAAUGGAGGGGAGACUCCCUGACACAGCAGAGAGGUCCGUCUGGGCGGGAGUGUGACAGGCAGCGGCUGUGCCCCGCCGGGGGCCCCGUAGGGCUGGGGCGCUGGAGCCAGGGUGGCAGCAGCAGGGGCACCUCUGAAGCUCGGUGGCGGCUGGGAACCCGCAGCUCCCCCGGGAGAAGGAAGCGCCUGGGCCAGGAGCCCCCUUGUGGCCGCGGGCAGGCUGAGCAGGGGGGGUGCGGGGCGCCCAGGGCACAGGCCCAGCCUGCAGCCAGCGGCGGGCACGGCCCUGUCACCCCCAGCCCCGCAGACGCCGUCCCCGCGACCCGGAUGGCUGGGGGCCGGGCACGAGGCCCAGAGCAGGGACAGGGCCGAGCCGCGGGAGG
rnacentral:lncRNA from 12 species